rnacentral:lncRNA from 1 species
CCCUGAGUCUGGGCCAACGCCAGCCCAGCCACAUCAGAAUGCGUAGCUCCCUCACUCGACCCCACGCCCCAGAUCUUUAAACGUCUGAGCCCGGACUGGGUGCCAGCCCUAUUGAGCCUAAGGAGCCCAGAGCCACAGUGCCUGUCACGUAGGCCGAGCCCCCUCGAAUGCUUUUGAAGCUGACCGCCUGUGGGCCUUCUCCGCACAGUCCUGCGCCGGGCUCUGUUCUCAGUAUUAACCAGUUCGGUGUUUGCUUUCGUCUGAGUGGCCGAUUCGUCCACGGCAGCCGGAAUUCCCCAGGGGAGCCCCUGCAGCUGCCCUUGGAGAUUGCCAAGGAAGAGGAAAGGCGCACCCACGCCUUUGACGUGGUCACGGCGCCACCUUCAGCCCCUUGGGAGGGGACACGUGUGGAUCUGGGAGUGGUCUCCGUGCCCACCCACCAUCACGACAGCAUCAACCGAGGGCAACCCUUGGUUGUCUGGCCCUGCUGCCCGCCUGGGGCGGUGUCGCUUGGGCAGAGGGCAGCUUUAAAGCACAAAACCACCGUAGGGAAGACUGUUGCUGGGACUUUCUCACGCCACCCAGUGUGGUGGAGACGCAGGCAGGCCGCUGCUGUGAAGUCAGAAACGCCCUGCUCUCUUCCAUCACGCGGACAAUGCCGACUCUUGGGGGCAUCCUCGGACGCAGCCUGGGCUGGGUGCAGGCACAGCCCCUGGCCUCUUCAGCGCCUGCCUGUGCCUGAUGUGUUCACCAUCGUGUUUGUCUGGACAGGGCCUGCCCUGCAAGAGCGAUCAUGCCACCAACUCCUGGAGAUUCUGGCCCAUCCCCUGGGCAUGGUGGCCUCUGGGGGACGAUCUGCAUCUUCGUCACCAGCCAAGACUAUUCUGAAAGCUUUACUUUCUGAGUCUUGCAUUGUGAAGACAAUAGGGUCUCUCUCUGCUGUGUUUUCCGAAUAUAAAACCGAGUUUGUCCUGUCAACCUACACAGUCCGUGCUGCUUAUCUAGACCUAUGGCUGUUGACAGGUGAUCCAGCCGGCCCUUCUUUUACAGAAGAUCCCACCCUAUGGGACAGAGCCCACUGUUGACUGUGGGAGGUGAUGAUUGGGCGUGACCAGCUGCAAGCCUGGGGGGUGUGGGUGAAACCAGAAAGUGGAGGCCCAGGAGCUGCUGAACUUGUCAGGAGCAGGGCCCUGGAACAGACUCCAACUGGUUCUACCUUGUGACUGUGCCGCUCCCCUCACCCUGCAGAGGCUUUGCCUCCAAAGGUGGUUUUUUCAAACUCAGGUCACCCUGUGUCUUGAAGAUGCCAAAGCACUUAGGGGUAGGGAGGCAGGAACACCAGGUGAAGGGACAUUGUUCUUUUAUUCUUUUAAUGUGGGAUUUGGUUCCCUCCCCCGCCAGACUGUACCAGUAAUAUCUGCUUAUUAUAGAAAAUUUGCAAAGGAGAGUGUGAAGCAGAGAAAUACUAUUUAGGAUGUAAUAGCACUUCUCAGAAUUUGAUAGGAGCCAUCCAUUGUCAGGCCUGGUGGCAUCAUCAAAGAGGGUUUUUUCCAACGCUCUCGAUUUACAGAUGAGAGGGACGGAGGCCCAGAGAAGCCAACAGAGUUGGCCCCAACCCUACCAGGACAGAGAUGGCCUGAUGGACUUCCAUUACUUCCCCCAUGUGGUCUCUUCCCAACGUGCCUGUUAACUUGGCUUGACCAACGUGAGGGGGUGACUUGGGGAGGGGGGGCAUCAGAACAAUCCCUGAAGUGGGUCCCGUACAGACACGCUUGACCCGAUUGUACUUCGGAGGUCAGGGAAGGGAACGUGAGUGUACCACUGUCUUGUGCUAUUCUCUGCUCACCUCCGUCUAUAAGAGGUGCAGCUGAUCAGGCCCCCAGCAUCAGCCGGCGGCUGCUGAUGUGAGAACCAGAGACCAGGCCAAGGGUAGUACGUGAGAAGAGCCCUCCGGCCAACGCAGACCUUUGUGUGGGCUUUAAUGCUGCCUCCCUCUGAGGUUUGUUUGCAAGCAGACCCAAGCGACUCCAGCGGCUGCACCAGGGCUGAGAGAAUGCUACGAGGAGCAUGGCCACCACCGAGAAG